UACGUAGGGUGCAAGCGUUAAUCGGAAUCACUGGGCGUAAAGGGUGCGUAGGCCGCACGGUAAGUCAGAGGUGAAAUCCCGGAGCUCAACUUCGGAAUUGCCUCCGAUACUGCCGUGCUUGAGGACUGGAGAGGAGAUUGGAAUUCACAGUGGAGCAGUGAAAUGCGUAGAUAUUGUGAGGAACACUAGUGGCGAAGGCGAAUCUCUGGACAGUUCCUGACGCUGAGGCACGAAGGCCAGGGGAGCAAACGGG
rnacentral:rRNA from 1 species